rnacentral:rRNA from 1 species
GAUGAACGCUGGCGGCGUGCCUAAUACAUGCAAGUCGAGCGAACAGACGAGGAGCUUGCUCCUCUGACGUUAGCUGCGGACGGGUGAGUAACACGUGGAUAACCUACCUAUAAGACUGGGAUAACUUCGGGAAACCGGAGCUAAUACCGGAUAAUAUAUUGAACCGCAUGGUUCAAUAGUGAAAGACGGUUUUGCUGUCACUUAUAGAUGGAUCCGCGCCGCAUUAGCUAGUUGGUAAGGUAACGGCUUACCAAGGCAACGAUGCGUAGCCGACCUGAGAGGGUGAUCGGCCCCACUGGAACUGAGACACGGUCGAGACUCCUACGGGAGGCAGCAGUAGGGAAUCUUCCGCAAUGGGCGAAAGCCUGACGGAGCAACGCCGCGUGAGUGAUGAAGGUCUUCGGAUCGUAAAACUCUGUUAUUAGGGAAGAACAAAUGUGUAAGUAACUAUGCACGUCUUGACGGUACCUAAUCAGAAAGCCACGGCUAACUACGUG